rnacentral:rRNA from 1 species
AUGAACGCUAGCGAUAGGCUUAACACAUGCAAGUCGAGGGGCAGCACAAGGGUAGCAAUACUCUGGUGGCGACCGGCGUACGGGUGCGUAACACGUAUGCAACCUUCCUGUAAGUGUGGGAUAGCCUCCUGAAAGGGAGAUUAAUACCUCAUGAUAUGUAUUUGCUGCAUGGCAUUUACAUUAAACAUUUAUGGCUUACAGAUGGGCAUGCGUUCCAUUAGGCAGUUGGUGUGGUAACGGCUCACCAAACCUACGAUGGAUAGGGGUUCUGAGAGGAAGGUCCCCCACACUGGAACUGAGACACGGUCCAGACUCCUACGGGAGGCAGCAGUGAGGAAUAUUGGUCAAUGGGCGCGAGCCUGAACCAGCCACGUCGCGUGAAGGAUGACGGCCUUAUGGGUUGUAAACUUCUUUUACAGGGGAAUAAAGUGAGUCACGUGUGAUUUUUGCAUGUACCCUGUGAAUAAGCAUCGGCUAACUCCGUG